AGCAGCCGCGGUAAUUCCAGCUCCAAUAGCGUAUAUUAAAGUUGUUGCAGUUAAAAAGCUCGUAGUUGAAUUUUGGGUUUGGCCAAUUGGUCCGUUCUUGUAACGAGUACUGGUUGGUUGGGCCUCACCGCCUGGUGAUACGUAAUGUCCUUUAUUGGAUGUUGCGAGUAGCCAGGACCUUUACCUUGAAAAAUUAGAGUGUUUAAAGCAGGCUUAUGUCGGAAUACAUUAGCAUGGAAUAAUAGAAUAGGACGAUGAUUUUAUUUUGUUGGUUUCUAGGAGCAUCGUAAUGAUUAAUAGGGAUAGUUGGGGGCAUUAGUAUUCAAUUGUCAGAGGUGAAAUUCUUGGAUUUAUUGAAGACUAACUACUGCGAAAGCAUUUGCCAAGGAUGUUUUCAUUAAUCAAGAACGAAAGUUAGGGGAUCGAAGACGAUCAGAUACCGUCGUAGUCUUAACCAUAAACUAUGCCGACUAGGGAUCGGAUGAUGUUAAUUUUUUAAUGACUCA
rnacentral:rRNA from 1 species